rnacentral:rRNA from 1 species
CUUAACACAUGCAAGUCGAGGGGAAACGACAUCGAAAGCUUGCUUUCGAUGGGCGUCGACCGGCGCACGGGUGAGUAACGCGUAUCCAACCUGCCCAUCACUUGGGGAUAACCUUACGAAAGUAAGACUAAUACCCAAUGACGUCUCUAGAAGACAUCUGAAGGAGAUUAAAGAUUUAUCGGUGAUGGAUGGGGAUGCGUCUGAUUAGCUUGUUGGCGGGGUAACGGCCCACCAAGGCAACGAUCAGUAGGGGUUCUGAGAGGAAGGUCCCCCACAUUGGAACUGAGACACGGUCCAAACUCCUACGGGAGGCAGCAGUGAGGAAUAUUGGUCAAUGGACGAGAGUCUGAACCAGCCAAGUAGCGUGCAGGAUGACGGCCCUAUGGGUUGUAAACUGCUUUUAUAAGGGAAUAAAGUGAGUCUCGUGAGACUUUUUGCAUGUACCUUAUGAAUAAGGACCGGCUAAUUCCGUGCCAGCAGCCGCGGUAAUACGGGAGGUCCGGGCGUUAUCCGGAUUUAUUGGGUUUAAAGGGAGCGUAGGCCGGAGAUUAAGCGUGUUGUGAAAUGUAGAUGCUCAACAUCUGCACUGCAGCGCGAACUGGUUUCCUUGAGUACGCACAAAGUGGGCGGAAUUCGUGGUGUAGCGGUGAAAUGCUUAGAUAUCACGAAGAACUCCGAUUGCGAAGGCAGCUCACUGGAGCGCAACUGACGCUGAAGCUCGAAAGUGCGGGUAUCGAACAGGAUUAGAUACCCUGGUAGUCCGCACGGUAAACGAUGGAUGCCCGCUGUUGGUCUGAAUAGGUCAGCGGCCAA